rnacentral:rRNA from 1 species
CCGUCAAUUCAUUUGAGUUUUAGUCUUGCGACCGUAAUCCCCAGGCGGAUCACUUAACGCGUUAGCUACGGCACAGCAGGAAUGAGUACCCGCUACACCUAGUGAUCAUCGUUUACAGCGUGGACUACCAGGGUAUCUAAUCCUGUUUGCUCCCCACGCUUUCGCGUCUCAGCGUCAGUUACCGUCCAGAAGGGCGCCUACGCCACUGGUAUUCCUCCCGAUCUCUACGAAUUUCACCUCUACACCGGGAAUUCCCCCUUCCUCUCCAGUACUCAAGAAAUGCAGUUUCCAAUGCACUUCCCAGGUUAAGCCCAGGGCUUUCACAUCAGACUUGCAUCCCCGCCUACACGCGCUUUACGCCCAGUAAUUCCGAAUAACGCUCGCACCCUCCGUAUUACCGCGGCUGCUGGCACGGAGUUAGCCGGUGCUUCCUCUGGUGGUACCGUCAAACCUCAACCGUUUCUUAUCAAGGCCUUUCUUCCCACCUGACAGGGCUUUACGACCCGAAGGCCUUCGUCACCCACGCGGCGUUGCUGCGUCAGCCUUGCGGCCAUUGCGCAAAAUUCCUCACUGCUGCCUCCCGUAGGAGU